GAUGAACGCUGGCGGCGUGCUUAACACAUGCAAGUCGAACGGGAAACCUUUUAUUGAAGCUUCGGCAGAUUUAGCUGGUUUCUAGUGGCGGACGGGUGAGUAACGCGUGGGUAACCUGCCCUAUACAGGGGGAUAACAACCAGAAAUGGUUGCUAAUACCGCAUAAGCGCACAGGGCCGCAUGGUCCGGUGUGAAAAACUCCGGUGGUAUAGGAUGGACCCGCGUUGGAUUAGCCAGUUGGCAGGGUAACGGCCUACCAAAGCGACGAUCCAUAGCCGGCCGGAGAGGGGGAACGGCCACAUUGGGACUGAGACACGGCCCAGACUCCUACGGGAAGCAGCAGUGGGGAAUAUUGCACAAUGGGGGAAACCCUGAUGCAGCGACGCCGCGUGAAGGAAGAAGUAUCUCGGUAUGUAAACUUCUAUCAGCAGGGAAGAUAGUGACGGUACCUGACUAAGAAGCCCCGGCUAACUACGUG
rnacentral:rRNA from 1 species